rnacentral:rRNA from 1 species
UACGUAGGGGGCAAGCGUUGUCCGGAUUUAUUGGGCGUAAAGAGCGUGUAGGCGGCCAAGCAGGUCAGCUGUGAAAACUCGAGGCUCAACCUCGAGACGUCGGUUGAAACCGCUUGGCUAGAGUCCGGAAGAGGAGAGUGGAAUUCCCGGUGUAGCGGUGAAAUGCGCAGAUAUCGGGAAGAACACCUGUGGCGAAAGCGGCUCACUGGACCAUAACUGACGCUGAGGCGCGAAAGCUAGGGGAGCAAACAGG